CAUGCANCUCGAGGGGCAUCAGGUAAGAAAGCUUGCUUUCUUUGCUGGCGACCGGCGCACGGGAUGAGUAACACGUAUCCGACCUGCCCUUUACUCGGGGAUANCCUUUCNAAAGAAAGAUUAAUACCCGAUGGGAUAAUGAUUCCGCAUGGAUUUCAUUAUUAAAGGAUUCCGGUAAAGGAUGGGGAUGCGUUCCAUUAGGUUGUUGGUGAGGUAACGGCUCACCAAGCCUUCGAUGGAUAGGGGUUCUGAGAGGAAGGUCCCCCACAUUGNAACUGANACACGGUCCAAACUCCUACGGGAGGCANCAGUGAGGAAUAUUGGUCAAUGGGCGUGAGCCUGAACCAGCCAAGUAGCGUGAAGGAUGACUGCCCUAUGGGUUGUANACUUCUUUUAUAUUAGAAUAAAGUGCAGUAUGUAUACUGUUUUGUAUGUAUAAUAUGAAUAANGAUCAGCUAACUCCGUGCCAGCAGCCGCGGUAAUACGGAGGAUCCGAGCGUUAUCCGGAUUUAUUGGGUUUAAAGGGAGCGUAGGUGGACUGGUAAGUCAGUUGUGAAAGUUUGCGGCUCAACCGUAAAAUUGCAGUUGAUACUGUCAGUCUUGAGUACAGUAGAGGUGGGCGGAAUUCGUGGUGUAGCGGUGAAAUGCUUAGAUAUCACGAAGAACUCCGAUUGCGAAGGCAGCUCACUGGACUGCAACUGACACUGAUGCUCGAAAGUGUGGGUAUCAAACAGGAUUAGAUACCCUGGUAGUCCACACAGUAAACGAUGAAUACUCGCUGUUUGCGAUAUACAGUAAGCGGCCAAGCGAAAGCAUUAAGUAUUCCACCUGGGGAGUACGCCGGCAACGGUGAAACUCAAAGGAAUUGACGGGGGCCCGCACAAGCGGAGGANCAUGUGGUUUAAUUCGAUGAUACNCGAGNAACCUUACCCNGGCUUNAAUUGCAGUGGAAUGAUGU
rnacentral:rRNA from 1 species